rnacentral:rRNA from 1 species
UACGGAGGAUGCAAGCGUUAUCCGGAUUGAUUGGGCGUAAAGCGUCUGUAGGUGGUUACGCUAGUCGGCUGUUAAAGAUCAGGGCUGAACCCUGAGCAAGCAGUCGAAACUGCGUGGCUGGAGUAUGGUAGGGGCAGAGGGAAUUCCCGGUGUAGCGGUGAAAUGCGUAGAUAUCGGGAAGAACACCAAAGGCGAAAGCGCUCUGCUGGGCCGAAACUGACACUGAGAGACGAAAGCUAGGGGAGCGAAUGGG